UACGAAGGGGGCUAGCGUUGCUCGGAAUCACUGGGCGUAAAGGGUGCGUAGGCGGGUUCUUAAGUCAGAGGUGAAAUCCUGGAGCUCAACUCCAGAACUGCCUUUGAUACUGAGAGUCUUGAGUUCGGGAGAGGUGAGUGGAACUGCGAGUGUAGAGGUGAAAUUCGUAGAUAUCUGGAGGAAUACCGGUGGCGAAGGCGGCAGUCCUGGACCGACAUUGACGCUGAACGGCGAAAGCUAGGGGAGCAAACGGG
rnacentral:rRNA from 1 species